GCAUAUUAUCUUUUAUCCGUCCUUUACAUCUUGUUCGAUGUCAUCGUUCUUUUUCUCUCUUUAGGCGUUGCAGUCGGUGCUACUUUUCUUCGUAGAAGGUCUCCUUCUGGUUUCUCUUAAUUUUCUUGAGAAAGGAAAUUUCGACCCGAUGAAUUGGAGGAAGAACAAAAUUGAGAGAAUGGUUGGGCGUAAUUGAUUUGAUCCCCCGAUAUAAAGAAUUCAAACAUCACUAUCUGCUUAUUGUUCACUAUUCUCAUCAUAUACUUCAAGAUCUGAGUUAUGGACUGGCGAUAUCCUGGUAUCAGAGCAAGAAGAUUUGAUAUUUGGUCCCGACCAAUGGAAAGAUUAUGAUUUGUGCAAUGUAUAAUGGUUUUACAAAUUACAGGUUUAGAUUGUAAUGGAGAAAAUGUGGCAAUUGCAAAAAGGUCAAAGUAAAGGGCGGCGAAAUUGAGUGUUGCUGAUGAAGUCUAAUCCACUAUGAACAACACUGAAAUGGGUUGUUUAAGAUCUGAUGGUAAUGAUGAGAUUCACAAUGUUUCUGUUCGGAAGCGGUUUAAGUUUCCAGAAAAGAGUUGCAGUUUUUUAUGCUUCUGUGCUCUCGGCUUCUUCGCAAGGAGUAUUCUGACUGUUCUGUCUUGCCCGUGCCUUUGUCUUCAUUUAGGUAUUUUUGCCAAAUGCUCCUAAGAAGAAGGCUACAAAGCACAGACAAAAUGCGGGAGAAAUACCACACCACCAUUUCCAACAUGUAAAUAGUGUGGCAUGUACAUAUAUUUUUCUGAUAUGUGAUGUAAAUUAUGCAGCCAUGGAUGUAAACAAUAUAACAAAAAGCGUCCCACCGUUGGGUACAAUAUCUGCGUGUAAAUAAUAUCUCCAGUUGGCU